rnacentral:piRNA from 1 species
UGGUAAAUAAAGUUUUCAGUGGCCAAUGG